CAGAACAAAGCUGCAGGCUCUCGAGUUCCUCAGCCCCAAGCACAGGACCACACAGGGGUCUCUAUAGCCUGAGGAAUCCACUGAGAACUGGAUAUCUGAGACUUAGCUUGUGGUGAGCAGUUACCGUCUAGAGAAG
rnacentral:sRNA from 1 species